GAUGAACGCUGGCGGCGUGCCUAACACAUGCAAGUCGAGCGAAGCGGGGACGGGUGAGUAAUACGUGGAUAACCUCCUAUAAGACUGGGAUAACUUCGGGAAACCGGAGCUAUACCGGAUACAUAUAGUUGGAUCCGCGCUGCAUUAGCUAGUUGGUAAGGUAACGGCUUACCAAGGCAACGAUGUAUAGCCGACCUGAGAGGGUGAUCGGCCACACUGGAACUGAGACACGGUCCAGACUCCUACGGGAGGCAGCAGUAGGGAAUCUUCCGCAAUAGGCGAAAGCCUGACGGAGCAACGCCGCGUGAGUGAGGAAGGUCUUAGGAUCGUAAAGCUCUGUUAUUAGGGAAGCGUUACCUAAUCAGAAAGCCACGGCUAACUCCGUGCCAGUAGCCGCGGUAAUAC
rnacentral:rRNA from 1 species